AUUGAACGCUGGCGGCAGGCCUAACACAUGCAAGUCGGGCGCGCGGCGGACGGGUGAGUAAUGUAUGGGGAUCUGCCUGAUGGAGGGGGAUAACUACUGGAAACGGUAGCUAAUACCGCAUACCAUCAGAUGAACCCAUAUGGGAUUAGCUGGUAGGUAAGGGAACGGCUUACCUAGGCGACGAUCCCUAGCUGGUCUGAGAGGAUGAUCGGCCACACUGAGACUGAGACACGGCCCAGACUCCUACGGGAGGCAACAGUGGGAAAUAUUGCACAAUGGGCGCAAGCCUGAUGCAGCCAUGCCGCGUGUAUGAAGAAGGCCUUCGGGUUGUAAAGUACUUUCAGUCGGGAGGCGUUGACUACAGAAGAGGCACCGGCUAACUCCGUGCCAGCAGCCGCGGUAAUAC
rnacentral:rRNA from 1 species